UACACUACCAGAACAAAUAGGACAACGAGCUAUUUAUACAAGUCUUUACAACGGGUGCAUCAAAACUAAUUCUCUGGUCAAAAAUAAACGUUUGGAGGCCACUCUAAAGAUGAACCCUCUAUCCUGACACCUCUGGAGCGGUGCUGCAGGAUUCGUCGCGCUACCCUCCUGCGUCUGUCUUCGUCUCCUCUCUCUGCUCCAGUACAGUCUGUGAUGUUAUGAGGGACUCUCUUUUCCAUGAUCCUCUAUUCUCCGUGGCCCCUCUCCGCCCUAGAGAAAUGAAGAGCUAAUCUGGCAGCCCUGUUUUGAGCGAUUUGGAGCUUUUUUAUAUAUCUUUCUUUGCUGCAGAUGACCAUAUAACUGGACAGUACUCUAAGUGUGAUAGAACUAGGGAUUGAAUCACCUGAUUCAGAGUGCUAGAUGUUACAUACUCUGAACAUUCUCUUGUAACAGCAAUUCCCUUACUCAUCUUAAUAAUAUUAUCUAUGUGUUCUGACCAUGAUAAAGCUGCGUCCAACAUGACGCCUAGUGGUUUCGAUUUUUUAAAAUUGCUCUACAUGCGUUCUAUUCAUCGACAAAUUCAAUUGGGGAUCAUCAACAAGCAUAUAUCUUGAACCAAAUACAAUACAUUUAGUUUUAGAAAUGUUCAACACCAAUUUGUUCAUAUCAACCCAUUCUGACACAAUUCUUAGUUCACUACUGAGUACAUCUGUUAGCUCAUUAUAUUCUGAUGCUGCGCUAUACAUUGUAGAGUCAUCAGCAUUCAUUACCACUCUUGCUUUGUUCAUUAGUAAAGAUAGAGUAGAGAAGUGGGCCUAGGCAGCUUC